rnacentral:rRNA from 1 species
AUUGAACGCUGGCGGCAUGCUUUACACAUGCAAGUCGAACGGUAACAGGCCUUCGGGUGCUGACGAGUGGCGAACGGGGGAGUAAUGCAUCGGAACGUGCCCAGUGGUUGGGGGUAACGCAGCGAAAGCUGUGCUAAUACCUCAUGUGAUCUGAGUAUGCAAGCGGGGGACCGAGCAGCAAUGUUUGGCCUCUCGCCUCUGGAGCGGCCGAUGUCGGAUUAGGUAGUUGGUUGGGUAAAGGCCUACCAAGCCGACGAUCUGUAGCUGGUCUGAGAGGACGACCAGCCACACUGGGACUGAGACACGGCCCAGACUCCUACGGGAGGCAGCAGUGGGGAAUUUUGGACAAUGGGCGCAGGCCUGAUCCAGCAAUGCCGCGUGAGGGAAGAAGGCCUUCGGGUUGUAAACCGCUUUUGUACGGAACGAAAAGGCUCUGGCUAAUACCUGGGGCUGAUGACGGUACCGUAAGAAUAAGCACCGGCUAACUACGUG